rnacentral:lncRNA from 1 species
UUCAGAAAUCAGCCACACAAAAUGCUCCUCCUUCUCUCUAGUCUCUCUAUCUCUGUCUCUCUUCCCCUCUCAUAAACCAUGGCUGCCACCUCCACUGGCCGGUGAAGUCCGGAGCACCAUCCGUCACCUCCCUUCCUCCUCUCCGACGAACACCAUCGCCGCCGCCGCUGCCGCCCUUUGAUUUUCCGGCGAAUAACCAACUAUGUGAAGCCACCGCCGAACCAGCAACCUCCUUCCCCAUCGCGGCUCCAUAUCCAGCUACCACUGCACUAAGCCGCUCAACCGCGCCACCAGAAGCCCUCAAAAACCUCCAGCCCACCGCUGCCUCUCCCAACCUCGCCGGCGAAGGCUCCAAUGAGCCAAUCAGCCCUCUCAUCUCCAUGUCGAUGCUCGAUUUUCGCCGAAAAUAUUGUAUUUCAUGAUGGAUUCAUCAAAUCCGUCUCAGGUUUGUUAUUUUGUUCAAAUUUCUUUCUUCUACUUCUUUAUUUAUUUUCUCUUCUGAUAGAUCUUAUUAGACUUAAAUUGAUCAUGAAUUUUGAGUUGUUUUAAUGUGUUCAUGUUUGCAGACCAACAUCCGUGAAAAAUGCAUAACUUUUGUGGAUUUUAAGCAAACAGUCAUAACUUUGAUUACGAAAGUUUGAUUUAGUUGAUUGAGUUAUUCACAUGAUUAAAUUAUUAGAGUUAUCCUGUUGGUAUGUUGUGAAUUUUGCCCAUCUUUGUGUCUUUGUGUUGUUACUUUGAUAGCAGGUGUUCUUUGAUAUGACUAUGGACUGAUUCAGAUACAAUUAGCAUAGCGUUACUAGGUGUAAAUUGCGUGACUUUUGAUAAAGGGUUUGACACUAGUUGAUUCACUCCUAAUUGGAAUAACCUUGAUGCCUAGUUAAUUUUGGUAGAUUAUAAAUUUUUUCCCCUUCCCUUCAUAUGACACUUUUGUUACUUGAAUAGGUACGGUAAAUACAUAAUUGGUGCUUUUCAUUGAAAUAUAAUUGAUAUAUAAUUGAUUUGCUUAAUUGACAUUUUACUUUUUUUUUUUUUGACUGAAUUGGGUAUUUUAAGUGUGAUUUUAUAUAUAUGAAAAACUCCCUUGAUUGACUUCAUCCAAUAUUCCCCUCUUCCUUAAUUGAUUCUGACUGAUUUUUGAAUAUCUCUUUGCCCUUUUCUGUUGUGGCUAAUUGACUCUGACAUAUUGCCUUUUUUUUGGACUCUUUAUCCUCUCACUAUAUAAACAGACCCUCUUCCUUAAUUGAUUCUGACUGAUUUUUGAAUAUCUCUUUUCCUUUUCUGUUGUGGCUAAUUGACUCUGACAUAUUGUCUUUUCUGUUGACUCUUUAUCCUCUCACUAUAUAAACAGACCCUCUUUUCAAUUAGAGGACAACAAUCAUAUUCCACUUUCUCUGCUUUUACUCUCUGAAACAUAAAGAACUACUAGCUAUUCUAAUAGAAAAAAAAUACAUAUUUCUCAAGCUGUGUGGCGUUUCUUGUUGAGUUUUAUGGAAGUAUUCUGUAUCUCACCAUUGGGAGUGCUUUACUUCAACAUCCUUCUAAUUAUUUAUUUUAUCUACUGCUCACUAAUAAGUUCUCAAAUCGAUGUAAUCUUUUUUUAUUAUUUUUUGUUUAUGUUGAUUGCAUCAUGUUAAAACCUUUAGAAAGCAUGUCUAUAGGAAUAUUUCAAUAUUAGAUGCUCUUGUUUUCUUGCUAUUAUAUCUUGUCUCGCAGGUUUAAAUAGAUAAUUAUGGAGUUUCAAAAAGUCGUCGGAAUGUUUAAACUGAAUAUGUUGUUCUUUAUAGCUAGUUGUUUUUCUUUCUUCUUAUUUUAUAUUAUUUGGUCUGUAAUAUUACUGUAAAGAUAUUAUUAUUGUAAUGAUAAUUUUAGAGAUUGCUUGGGGCAGGAACUUACGUGCUCUAUGAAUAGUAUAGAUAGGCACAACUUAGAUUUUAUGUUUGUUACAUGCUACGUGAAUUAUUUAGGCACAUAACAUUAGGAUUUAUUAACACAUGAAUCGUUUAGACACUUUUAUUAAUUGAUUCGCUUAGAAAUCUUUCUCCCGACAUAUUAAAUUGAGUUUAUGCAUGCUAAUACCUCUUUUGACAUCUCCACAUUGAGUUUAAGCAUGGUAACAUUUUUAGUACAUUGGCCUACUACAUUAAAUGUUUGCAUGUUAAACACUGCAAUUUAUUAACUUCGCAUUGCAUGUUUUGGCGUGUUAAUACAAUUUAGGCAUAUUAAAACAAGUUUGAGCAUGUUAAUAUUGUGAGCAUGUCAAUAAUUAAUUUUUGCAUAUUAAUACACUUUUAGCAUGUUUAGACACUCAGAUUAAGUAUAUCAUUUCGUAGUAUAUCAUUUCGUGUUUUCGACAUGUAAACAAUAUUUAAGCAUGAUAAUAUGGUAUGCAUGUUAACAAUUAAUUGUAUGCAUAUUAAUGAAUUUUUCAACACGUUAAAAGAUGUCAAAAACUGGAAUUAAUUAUGUUGUCGCAUAUUUUAGCAUAUAAAUACAAAUCUAAGCUGCUAACGUUUUUUAGAGCAUGUUAACAUUAAACUUCUACCCGUUAAUAUAUUUCGACAUGCCAAAGUAGUAUAGUUCAUGCGUGUUAAAACAAUUAAGUUUCGGCAUGUUAAAAUAGUAGAUUUUAGACAUUUUCAGCAUGUUAUUGCAUUUUCCAGCAUAUUAACAUGAAAUUUCUGCACCAUUAGCAUAAUUUUUAGCAUGUUAAGCAUUAAAUUUUAGGCAUUUUCAGCAUGUUAUUGCAAUUUAAGCAUGUCAACAUGAAUUUUCUGCGCACUAAUACAAUUGCCAAUAUGUUAAAAUGUAGGUUGUUGAGCAUUUUCAACAUGUUAAACACUAGAUUAAGUAGCCUUAGCAUGUUAAUGUAUUUUCAAUAUUUGUUAAUUUCUUACUCUCAUUAGUUUAUAACACUUGCACAAUGAAAGUCGUGAGCAUAACUUCUUGACAUAUUUACCGCACUUUGACAUCCUCUUUCAAUAAUUUGACAACACAUUGUUACAGACCCUCUCUCUUUAAAAAUCCCAAAAAGAGUGGUUAUGUCAAAUUUUGCUUUUCGCAAGAAAAAAUGGGGCGCGACAGAAUGACGACUCUACUGGGGAUCUUAGGUUCUAACCAUUACGAAUUUGUGCUUUACGUGGGAUUCCCUCCAUUUGUUUUGAUAAUGUUUGACAUCCUGAUUUAUUUUUUAUCUGUUCUUCUUUUAUCAUUUACUUACACCAUGAUUUAUUAGUCCUUUCUCCUUUUCCCUUUUUAUGUGUUUUUAUAUGUCUCCAUAUCUAUCCCAUUUCCUUUUUCCCUUUUUAUUGUUUAUGCGUUAUCAUGUUCAUCUAUAUGCAUGUUAUAUUUCACUAUGUGCUAUGUGUUACUGCUUUUAUAUAACUGGCCUUCUGCUCAUACUUUCCUCCAAUUGGAACUCUUUUUACGAAUGGUUGCGUAGGUACACAGACGUUCUUUCCUAAACACCAUAUGGGAAAUGCCUUGUGGAUCAAUCGAUCAGCGGUGCGUAACAGUCACAAACUUUCCCACUCGAGGGAACCAUGUUAUAAACCGACUCUUUUCCUUUAGGUCUUGGCUACAUAUUUCUUUUAUUAAGGAAUAUGCAUCCCAUUCAACGUCGGAUGUCUUGGCAUCCUUGACGCAUUGAAUGUUAGUCUCAUUCAAAGUCCAAAGAGUUUCAUGAUCUCAAAGGGACUCACAAUUAUUUGCUAUGUGUUGCAUUUCUAUGUAUGUAUUUAUAUCUUGCCUAUUUUGUUGUUUCCGUUCUUGCUUUAGUCACUCCUUACUUUUAGUAUUCCUCACUUUAGAACUCUUUACUUUUAUAAUUCUUGUCAUGUUAGGACCCUACAAGGCACUCUUAGGGCCUAUUCAAAAUCCUCUAAUUCAUCCCUACUUGCCAUUCAACUUCUACAACCCUCAAAAUUCUGAACUACGUCCGACCUGAUUCUUGUUUAAACAAGAUAAGUAGGCAAUCCUUUACGAGGGUACGGUCUUUCUUUUCCCUUUCUUUUACAAAACAUCCUAAUAUUUGAAAAUGCGAAACAAACUUAUUCAUUCAAAUAGUUUUUCUAUGAAAACAUAUUCUCCAUUUCUUUCACCUUUCCAUAAUGUCAUAAGGGUGAAACUUAGAAGCUUUUCUCUGAAUCAUUCCAACAACUUUUCACAAUUUUUUUAACUCUCAGACAUUUCGAACUAAAUAUUUUAAAAUUUUCAAAACUUUUCAAAUCUUUAAUUCUCCCAUCCAGUCCAAAACAAUUUCUUUAAACACUUUAUGUGCAUCUUUUAAAUAGCUUAUCGUUAUCAGUUUUAAGUACAAACUUAGUACCUAAGUCUUGAGUGGAGCCUAUCUUCUACUUUUGAUGUCAAAUCAUUUCUGAAGCUUAAGUUCUAACCCACCUAUUCUCCCUGAAGUCCUCCUUGACAAAAUGACUCAUAUUAUCGUACUGUAUAUUUUCUUAUUGGAUCCACUCGCUCCUAUUUUGUUCAAAUUGCUAUUUUAUCAAACAUCGGCUCAUUUGAAAAUCUGCGAUAUGACAAAUAUGCUCAAUAUUUCAAAAAAUUUCAUCAUUUUCUUCUUGUCCAAGGCGAUACACUGCUUGAAUUGUAUCUCUUUAUUCUCACCCUAUCCCUACCAACAACAAAUAUUUAGGUUAUGUUUCUUGUGAUUGUGAUAAAGUAAUCCGAACCAAAGAUUGAGCAAAUGAGGUUAGAAAUUCCUAAUUCCAAGCUUCUAUGCGUCAGACUUGGAUUAUAAUAUCAUAAGUCACAUAUAUUUGUCAUCCUCAACCUACCUCGGACUUAAUAAGGCUUCAUACAUUAUAGAACAUUUUAUUCUUGCAUAUUAACAUGUUUAAUUUUUCACUAUAUAUCAUAUUCACCUUACUAACUUGACUUUUUUUUCUUUUUUUCUUUUUUUUUUUUAAUUUUAUUUAUUUUUUUCUCCCACGCCCAAAGGAUUGAUUCGUGCAUUCUUUCGCCCAUCAAGGCUCGGUCUCCUUCUCUUAAAGCUUAGUCACCAAGAUAGAAAAAUCGGUGAUAACAAUGAUACUAGAAAUGAGCAUAAUGAGAUGAUCUUACAAAUGGAAGAAAGAAUCCUUGAACUGGAAGGGAAAUUGUCACAAGUCCAUAACUUAUCUAAUCUACCGUUGCUUUGAAUGCUCCUCUCGAACCAUAAGUUGAGGGUACCACCACUAUUGAAUCCCAUCCCACCUUCACAAGUCAUCCCGUACCAUCACUUCCUAUUUCACUACCCUAAACAAUUCAAGUCAUGUAUACACGUUUCCUAAACAUAACCCAUAUCCACAUCCUUGCAUACCAUAAUACCACACUUAUCCAGCUCCACUAAAUUCGCAAACAACAUCAUAUGUCCACAAUAUGCUGCCCAUAGAUACCACAAAUAUGCCUAAUUUUCAUAAUCCAAGUAGUUAUACUUUAAUUCAAGUUAUGUCAAAACGACUCCAUUCACCCACCACCACUAUAAAUUCAAACCUCCAAAAAAUGCAGCCCUUAUACAAUCUGUAGUUGAAAGAUUGGAACAACUUGAAGGCAAUAAGUGGUUGAAAGGGCUAAGUUAUGAGGACCUAUGCAUGCACCCUGACAUUGAACUGUUGAAGGGGUACAAACCUCCUAAAUUUGAAUUGUAUAAUGGGACUAGAGAUCCGAAAGUCUAUUUGAAACUAUAUUGCGACAAGCUAGUAGGAGUUGGUAAAAAUGAGCAGAUUCUUAUACAGUUAUUCAUGAAGAGUCUCACUGGAGAUGCUUUGUUAUGGUAUGUCACAUAAGAUGCAACAAAAUGGUCAAAAUGGACCGACGUGGCCUCUGCUUUUAUAGAAAGAUUUGGUUUUAAUGUCGAGAAUGCGCUUGAUUAGUUCUACAUUCAGAAGUUAAAGAAGAAACCUACAAAAUCAUUCCGAGAAUAUGGAAUGAGAUAGAUACAUAAAGCUUUCAAAGUGCGCCCUCCUUUAGAUGAAAAUCAAAUGAAGGAAUUUUUCAUUCACGCCCAAGAGCCAUAGUAUUAUGAAAGGAUGAUGCUUAUAGACGAUCGAAAGCUUAUUGACAUCAUUAAAUUAGGUGAGAGAAUUGAAGAAGGUAUUAAAAAGGACAUGAUAAUGAAUUUGGAAGCGUUGCAAGCGAUUAAGACUUCAAAGGCCGAUGAGAAUAAUGACAUGAAGGAAGUAAAUGUUGUCUUGACUACGCAAGAUCCUAAAACCCCUCUGGUUUACCCAACUCCAUUUCCUUCGCUUCAUACCAAACAUCCAUAUAUCAAGCACCUUCAUAUCCAUUUCCCCCACCAACAUACAAUUAUCUCAUAUUAUCUUAUAAUCUUACUAACUCUCUUGCACAACCCGCGUAUCUUCAAAUUCCUCCAAAUACAUUAACUUAUCAAAAUCCACUAACGAAUCUACAACCCAAUAAAUUCAUCACACCUCAAGCCAAGCUUCAGAAAAAUCAAUCAAGACAGUACAUUCCUUUGGCUGAGCCUAUAGACCAACUUUAUGAGAAAUUAAAGGUAGAUAGUUACAUUACUCUAAUUCCUGCAAUUGUAAUGAAUAUAUGUGCAAAAUGGAUUGAUCAUUUCAAAGUUUGCGCUUAUCAUUCAAGGAUGACAGGCCACACCACAGAAGAAUGUCGUGCUUUAAAGGAUAAAAUUCAAGCACUUAUUGAUACCAAGGCAAUAAAUGUACUGAGGCCAUAUCUUAAUUAAGCAUUGGCAUUUAUCCAAUAUUAAGGAUGGGGUAUCACGUUGUUUCCUCAUUCCAAGCUCUCAAGCACUUGAGUUACUAUAAUCUUUACAUUUGCUUGGAACAAUAUGAAUUUCUUCUAUGUAAUUUGAACUAUAUUCGACCUGAUUCCCAUUUAAGAUGGAUACGUAGGCGCUCCUAUGGAGUUCGGUCUUAUCAUAAUGAAAUUUUCAUAUUCUCUUAAAGCAUGUAACUAGGGCAUAAUUUUUGAAAGGAUUUCAAAAAUUCUAUGAUUCUACAAGUUUAGGACGGACAAGACAUAUAACUGGGGUAGAAUUUUUGAGAGGGUCUAAAAAAUUCUAUCAAGAAGCAUUUCAAACAAAUUCAAGGAUAACAAGAUUAAGGCCAUGAAACUGGGGCAGAAAUUUUUGAGGAGUCCUAAAAAAUUUCAUCAAGGAUUGCAUCUCAAGAAAGCGAUAUAAAGACAAUGGAUCCAGGACCUGAAUAAAGGAACUGACAGAGACAUGAAUCAAUCUUUCCCCCCUUUUUUAAGACUAAUAAUUUUUUUUGAGCGCAGGAAUAGAGUGACGAGUACAAAUCUUGAGUAUGCUAUACACCAUUAGAAGAUAUAAGGUUAAGUAUUGUCGUCUUAUAUUCUGAGCGGGUGAAGCACUACCCUCUCGAGAGAAACUGUUUGAGGCUAAGCAUUAUCCUUGAAAAGUUAAUCGGGUUAAGCACUACCCUCUCUCAACAAGUUUAUAAAAAACUAAGCUUUGUUUCAAAAAUUUGAUGGAGUUAAGCACGACUCUAUCAAGAACUCUCUGAGGCUAAGCAUUGUCCUUGGAAAGUUAAGUAGGUUAAGCGCUACCCUUUUUCGAGAAACUGACUGAGGCUAAGCAUUGUCCUUGAAAGUUAGUUGGGUUAAGCACUCUCGAGAAAUUAUUCGAACUAAGCAUUGUUUUGAAAAUUCGAUGGAGUUAAGCAUGACUCUAUCAAGAACUCUUUAAUGUUAAGCAUUGUCCUUAGAAAGUUAAAUGGGUUAAGCACUACCCUCUUUUGAGAAACUGACUAAGGCUAAGCAUUGUCUUUGAAAGUUAGUUGGGUUAAGCACUACCCUUUCUCGAGAAAUCAUCUGAACUAAGCAUUGUUUUGAGAACUCAAUGGAGUUAAGGACUACUCUAUUAAAAACUCUCUAAGGCUAAGCAUUGUCCUUGGAAAUUUAAGUGGGUUAAGCACUACCCUUUUUCGAUAAAAACUCUCUAAGGCUACGCAUUGUCCUUGAAAAGUUAAGUGGGUUAAGUAUUACCCUGUUUCGAGAAACUGACUAAGGCUGAGCAUUGUCCUCGAAAGUUAGUUGGGUUAAGCACUACCCUCUCUCGAGAAAUCAUUCGAACUAAGCAUUAUUUUGAAAACUCGGUGGAGUUAAGCAUUACUCUAUAAAAACUCUCUAAGGCUGAGCAUUGUCCUUGGAAAGAUAAGUGGGUUAAGCACUACCCUCUUUCGAAAAAAAACACUAAGGCUGAGCAUUGUCCUUGGAAAGGUUUAAGCUCUACUCUCUCUCAAGAAAUUGUCCAAGACUAAGCAUUGUCCUCUUGGAGCCGAUCGAUUUACUCAAAGACGAACACUAUUUUCUAAUACUGAACAUGUUAAGCACAACCGACCUCGGCGUUAUUAAAUGCUACUGCAUUACUGGACAUGGUGUGGAUUAAGCACAACCUCUUCAAAGAACAAACCAUUACUCUCUCAUAACAGAUACACUUUUUUAUCUUCUCUUAUCAUUAUUGUUAUGGUUGUUUUUACUACAUUGUUCAAUCUUCUAUACAUACAUAUCCGUGCUAAUCAUUUUAUCCAGUUGAGCUAAAAAUGACAGGACUAAUAGGUACAGAUUACUCCAUCACGAGCAACCAAGAGCUUAUCCCAUGAUUCCACAGUGCAUUGAGAAGCCAAAGAGUUGAUUUCAUGAUACAACAAAUUCGCUUUCUUAUUAUCACACUCACUUUAUGUUAAUCGAUUGCUUAUCUUUUACAUGCCCUAACCUUUGUUAUCUAGUAUAUGAUAAAGUAGGCAGGUAAGGAAUAACAAAUAGAGAAUAAUUUCCAUUCCUGUUUUCAAAAUAUCACCUCAUCUAUUCAUCCAUCGAAUGAACUCAUCUUAAAAAUCACCUGCUUUUAGUUUGCACAUCCCCUCACAUCAUCAUUUCAAAACAUAUUCAUCCCAUCUUACCGACCUACAACAGCUUUGUUGAAUGUCCAUCCUUUAUCAUUUACACUUUUUAGGAAUAUUGUUCAUUCCUAAAUCCAGAACUACAAACAGCCUGAUUCUCAUAAAAUCGGAGAUAUGUAGGCAACUUGAAACCUAAGACUCGGCCAUACUUUUUUUUAAACUACCCCUAUACUUUCAUUCCAACAAACCCUCCUCUCGGUCGGACAAAAUUGGCUACUACAACAACUUUUGUUGCUCGAUAAUUCUUUCAUCAUUCUCAAGCAACGAAAUUAUUAUUAUUAUUAUUAUUAUUGUUAUUAUUAUUGUUGUUGUAACAUUUAUCAAAUAGCAACCAAUUUUAAUUUAUUUUGCCUAAUUUAUUUAAAUUUUAGCCUUUUCCAACUCAUAACACUCUUAGGCUAAUUUUAUCCAACUUAUUACAAUUCUAGCCAUAUUUAAUUCAAUUUUAAAAAUCUCAAUUUAUCUUCUUAUCCUUUUAAUCGCAGCCAUGGAUCAAGAUCGAUCCAACGGCUGAGAUCGCAUCCCCCUCUUUCCUUUUUAAACUCAAAACAAAAAAAACCUAAGGGCCCAUUCAGAAACCAUGGCUGCCACCGCCACUGGCCGGCGAAGCCCGGAGUACCACUUUUCACCUCCCUUCCUCCUCUCCGACGAACCCAUCGCCGCCGCCACCAUCUUCCACCAGCGCUGCCAACCCCAUCGCCGCCGCCGUCCUUUGUUUUUUCGGCGAACAACCAAUUAUGUGAAGCCACAGCCGAACCAGCCUCCUCCUUCCCCGUCGAGGCUCCAUAUCCGGCGACCACUGCACCAAGACGCUUAACCGCGCCACCAGAAGCCCUCAAAAACCUCCAGCCCGCCGCCGCAUCUCCCAACCUCGCCGGCAAAGGCUCUAACGAGCCAAUCAGCCCUCUCAUCUCCACGUCGAUGCUCGAUUUUCGCCGAAAAUAUUGUAAUUCAUGACGGAUUCGUCAAAUCCAUCUCAGGUUUGUUAUUUUGUUCAAAUUUCUUUCUUCUACUUCUUUAUUUAUUUUCUCUUCGGAUCGAUCUUAUUAAACUUAAUAUGAAUAUGAAUUUUGAGUUGUUUUAAUGUGUUCAUGUUUUCAGACCAACAUCCAUGAAAAAUUCAUAACUUUUGUGGAUUUUUAAGGAUACAGUUAUAACUUUGAUUCCGAAAAUUUGAUAUAGUUGAUUGAGUUAUUCACAUGAUUAAAUCAGUAGAGUUAUUCUGUUGGUAUGUUGUGAAUUUUGGCCAUCUUUGUGUCUUUGUGUUGUUAUUUUGAUAGAAGGUGUUCUUUGAUAUGACUGUGGACUGAUUCGGAUACAAUUAGCAUAGCGUUACUAGGUGUAAAUUGGGUUUGACACUAGUUGAUUCACUCUUAAUUGGAAUAACCUUGAUGCCUAGUUAAUUUUGGUAUAUUAUAAAUUUUUUUUCCCUUCCCUUUAUAUGAUAUCUUUGUUACUUGAAUAGUUACGGUAUAUACAUAAUUUAUGCUUUACAUUGAAAUAUAAUUGAUUUGCUUAAUUGACAUUUUUUUUUAUUUGCUUUGAUUGAAUUGGGUAUUUUAAGUGUGAUUUUAUAUAUAUGAAAAUCCCUUGAUUGAUUUCAUCCAAUAUUUCCCUCUUCCUUAAUUGAUUCUGACUGAUUUUUGAAUAUCUUUUUUUCCUUUUCUGUUGUGGCUAAUUGACUCUGACAUAUUAUCUUUCCUUUUGAUUCUUUAUCCUCUCACUAUAUAAACAGACCCUCUUUUCAAUUAUAGGACAACGGUCAUAUUCCACUUUCUCUGCUCUUACCCUCUAAAAUAAAAAGAACUACUUGCUAUAAUAGGAAAAAGAUACAUAUUUAUUUUAUUAUUUAUUUUAUUUGCUGCUCAUUGAUAAGUCCUCAGAUCGAUGUAAUUUUUUUUAUUAUUCUUUGUGUAUGUUGACUGCAUCAUGUUAAAACCUUUAGAAUACAUGUCUAUAGGAAUAUUUUGAUGUUUGCUACCAGCUUGUCUCGCAGAUUUAAAUAGAUAAUUACGGAGUUUCGAAGAGUCACCGGAAUGUUUAAACUGAAUAUGUUAUUCUUUAUAGCUAGUUAUUUUUCUUUCUUCUUAUUUUGUAUUAUUUAGUCUGUAAUAUUACUGUAUAGACAUUAUUAUUGUAAUGAUAAUUUUGGGGACUGCUCGGAGGCGGGGACUUACGUGCUCUAUUAAUAGUAUAGAUAGUCACAACUUAGGUUUUAUGUUUGUUACGUGCUACGUGAAUUAUUUAGGCACACAAAAUUAGGAUUUAUUAACACGUGAAUCAUUUAGACACUUUUAUUAAUUGAUUUCUUAGAAAUCUUGCUUUAAGGUUUUUUAAUUAACACCCGACAUAUUAAAUUAAAUUUAGGCGUGCUAAUGCCUCUUUUGACACGUCCACAUUUAAUUUAAGCAUGGUAACAUUUUCAGCAUGUUGGCCUACUAUGUUAAAUUUUUGUAUGUUAAACACUACAACUUAUUAACAUGUCAUUGCAUGUUUUGGCGUGUUAACACAAUUUAGACAUAUUAAAACAAGUUUGAGCAUUUUAAUAUUGUGAGCAUGUCAAUAAUUAAUUUUUGCACAUUAAUACACUUUUUGCAUGUUUAGACAUUCGGAUUAAGUAUGUCAUUUCGUGUUUUCAACAUGUAAAUAAUAUUUAAGCAUGAUAAUAUGGUAUGCAUGUUAGUAAUUAAUUGUAUGCAUAUUAAUGAAUUCUUCAACAUGUUAAAAGUUGUCUAAAAUUGGAAUUAAUUAUGUUGUCGCAUAUUUUAGCAUAUAAAUACAAAUCUAAGCUGCUAACAUUUUUUAGAGAAUGUUAACAUUAAACUUCCACCCGUUAAUAUAUUUCAGCAUGCCAGAGUAGUAUAGUUUACGCGUUAAAACAAUUAAGUUUUGGCUUGUUAAAAUAGUAGAAUUUAGACAUUUUCAACAUGUUAUUGCAUUUUCCAGCAUAUUAAUAUGAAAUUUCAGCACCAUUAGCAUAAUUUUCAGCAUGUUAUUGCAAUUUUAGCAUGUCAACAUGAAUUUCUUGCGCACUAAUACAAUUGCAAGCAUGUUAAAAUGUAGGUUUUUGAGCGUUUUCAACAUGUUAUACACUAGAUUAAGUAGCCUUAGCAUGUUGAUGUAUUUUCAAUAUUUGUUAAUUUCUUAUACUCAUUAGUUUAUAACACUUGCACAAUGAAAGUCGUGAGCACAACUCCUUGACAUAUUUACCGCACUUUGACAUCCUCUUUCAACAAUUUGACAAUACAUUAUUACAUACACGAAUCACAGUUAUCUUUUGUCAUAUUAAUCAAUUGUUGAACACUUCGAUAUCCUGUCCUUAGGUUAAUGACAAAAUAAAUAAUUAUUUGCCUUUGCAUGUUUAUCACAUUAAUCAACUUUAAUUAACAAAGAGGCUAACUUGGGAUAAUUAUGUGCUACGUGACGUCCUACUUGUAACACGUUUUGAGUCCUAGGCAACAUAGCUUUUUUUCCUUCUAAACCACAAAACCAAAAUAGCAAAAGUCAAAUGCCUCUUGGACGAUAGGAAUUACUAAAGACGUUAUUUUUAUCGUUGUCUUAGAACGUCUUUAGAGUUCUCAACCAACCUAGGUGGGGUGGGACGGAUAGUCAUUCGAAAGUGAUGAUCUCCAACAGACAUUAAAGGUAAGACAUAUGACUUGUCUAAGAGUUCUACCAAUAGGUUGGAUGAUGAUUAAACAAGUUGGGGUUUUGAUCCGAAUGAGAUCAAAAUCAUUUCUUUCUUUGAUUUGACGAGUUCUUUUCUUUCUUUUAUUUACCUUACAUGCUUAUUUAUAUAGGGUAGUUAGUUUGUUACAUAAGCAAUCCACUUUUGUCAUUUCUUUCUCCUCGCUUGUCUUAUUAUAUAUUUUACUGAUUUUAUCACUUAGAUAAUCAACAAUUAGAAAUAACAAAAUAACAUGUGUUUGCUUAUUAAUUACUUCAUCACUUAGUUAACAAUUAAGUUAAAAUAUGAGACCUUUAUUUGAUCACGUAGAAUUCCCACGUAAAAUACGAAUUCGAUUGGGAACCACCUUUGUGGACCUCGAAAGGUGGCCAACACCUUCCUUUUGAGGUGAUUUGAGCCCUUACUCGAAUUUCUAGUGAACUAAGAUAAACCACAAAAAUAGGUUCGUAGUAGCCUAGACUGGCGCCUUAAUGCACCUUAAUUUGUUAGGUAGCAAUUGUUCAUACUCUCCCUUUAACAAUCCCAAAAAGAGUGGUCAUUUCGAAUCUUGCUAUUCGCGAGAAAAAAUGGGGCGCGACAAUUAGUUGCAUGAUUUGAUUGUGAAAAUAAUUAACCCUAAUUUUCCAUGUGCUCCUUUUUACUGUGCUUCAUAAAUCAGUUGACCAUUUAUAAGGUUUAGCAUUAUUUAGGUUAAUCUAGUUUCCUCUUGUUAUCCUACAGACUCAUUUGACUUUCCACUAUGCCCAAAGCCUUGGAAGGUAUUUAAGCUACAUACAUUUGUUUUGCGAUUACACUCACCUCUUAUCACCUUGAAUGUAUCAACAUAUUGUACGAGAAUAUUACAUAUUUAAUACCAAAUUGGAUUAUAAUGUGUUCGUACAUCCAACAUCAUGUUCGAAGGCCUAAUGCAUGAUGCUCCCGAUAUUACGAUUAACAUUAAAUAAAUCUGGCUUAAGUCUAGUAAACCAUAAGUUACCUUUUAGAUGAAACAUACUGCUAUAAAGAGGGUGAGCUAAUCCAUACUAACUUAACAUACUUCCAUGUUAGAUUCCCUUAGGUGUGUCUCAAAAUCACCCUCAUAAACUUUGACCUUUGAAAUUUGAUGGUUGGGGAGAUGGAAUUUUUAAGGUUAUUUUGUGAGGAAGGGGACGACAUAGGGGAAUAAUAAAAGUAAGGGGUUUUAAAUCCCUUAGGUUGGAUAUUGCCCAUUGUCGCUGUAUCAAUUUCUAUUACCACUGCAGUGGUUAAACAAUCGAUGUUGUGGCCAACAAUAGUCCAACCUAAUUUCUUUUUGGGUCUUUUGUCCCAAUGCCCAUUCUCUUUGGUCCUCAUUUGCCUUUCUGUAUUAUUUUUUUUUGGCUCAAUUUGAGCAUAUUUUUUAUCAUACAUUAUUUUUGUGUCAUGUUCACAUGUAAUAAUAGUUUGGGUUAUUACAUUAGGUACCAAUUUAUCCACAGUUCAUCUCAGAAUGGUCCUCUAAGGUUGGGUUUUGGACACUUGCAUAAUUACUUAAGGAAUUCCAACUAUAAUGGGUUAUUAAAAGGAAUGCUGCAACACUCGAUAGAUAGCUUACCUACAAUUAAUUGUAGAUAAUUGGGGCCCAGGUUUUGGCAUGACAGUUGUUGCAACACCCUUAAAGUCGUACAUAAUUAAUUCUUGUGAUCAACAUCUACUACAGUUACUCGAAAGAACACUAUACCAUAAUUCAUGAAAAUUCAGGAUGAAACAAACAUUGGGAGAAUUUUAUUGCUACAGAGACUAGUUCUCGUUGCACUGGUGACUAACCGCAAAGCGGUUUAUGUAUUGCUGCAGUAUUGGGCAGUAACUUUUCAAUUUCUAUUUUUUUUUUAAAUUUGAAUUUUUUCCUUCCCUCUCUUGGUGUCCUUAUAUGGUUCUAAACUAGUUUCUAUGGCAUUUAUAGGACUAUAAUGGCUCAACAACAACCUUCAUACCACAGAUUUCCAAACACCAAAUAUCCUGACCAUUGUGAGGAUAGGUUGCAUAAUGGAUUUUCCUUUUCGACGAAGCAUGAUGAUGACUAAUGUGGAGGAAUAGUUGUUGGGAUUCCUCAACUAAUUGAAAGCUUUUGCGUGGGAGAUGUUAAUCGAUCCUGUCCCUUAACACAAUGUAGAGUUCGUUUAGGGGUUUUAUGCUAAUCUCUUAAUCAUGGAUUGAUUGAUACCUUUCCCUACUGUUCAUUUUAAAGGAAAGAAGGUCCCAAUAGAUGUGGAAAACAUAAAUUAUACCUUGGGUGUCCCAACACUUCAAAUGACUCAUUUGAGGCAACAAUUCAGGCAUUAGACCUAGAGUGGGUGGUCGGGGUCUUUCCAUUGGAAAAAUGAGUUGUCGAGGUAAAAUGGUCCAGUACUAGGGGGACUAAGAGCACCUAUCUCUCAGUUGAGGCUAGAGUGUGGUUAUAGUACUAGGGGGACUAAGAGCACCUAUCUCUCAGUUGAGGCUAGAGUGUGGUUAUGGUUGGUGUUCUAGGGAAUUUUCCAUUUGAAAUAUUGCAUACCUGACCUUCCGCUAGGAAAUGGUGGUGCUAUAUGCUUUUGUAGGGAUUCGAGUAAAUGUCGAAGUGUUGAUUAUGGAUGAGUGGCGGUACUUUAUGUAAAGGAACUUUUCCUGCCUCUUUGGUCACCAUACUCUCGAAUAGGGUAAACUUGCUUCAAGAAGUUUAGGACACUAUGGAUGACUGUGAGGUGAUAUAUAACCCAUUGUAAGAUAGGGGAAUUCGAGGGGGGAGUAAAAACAAGAAAAAGGUGGGGGAAGAGGGUGAGGGUAGUCUGGCUGGUAGGCCUGGAGAGUCGAGUGCCCCUUUUACUCAAGCUCCCAUGCCUCUUAGUGUUCGGGAGGCUGACCUUUAUGAAAUUUAAGGCUAUCAAGAGAGUUCUCACUGCCGCCUCCUGGAUUGGCUCCUUCAAGAUCUACUGCCCUCCCUUGAAUCUAUUCACACUUACGUGGAGCUGUGAGAAGAUAUGACUUAAGAAAGAAAGGAGUGGCGUUUCCAUGAUCGCAUGCUUGUAAGAAUAUGGAAGUUGGUACAAGUGAUGUUCGGGUGCACCUCUCCCCUCAAGAAGUUGUUGUAGCUGAAUAGAAAAGAUGCCAAAGAGUUCUUCCUCAGUGGCAUGGAGGAGGAGGGCUCGAAUGCUUUGAGCCUUGGAGAUAGUACCACCGACUACAUUUUUCCUCUCUUCCCCCAUUUUUAUGUUCAAGUACCUUUGAAUUUGGGUUGCCCCCUUUUUGGGGCUUGCAACAAACAAAUUCUCCCUUUUUAUUUAUUUCUCACACUUUAAAUCGCAUUUAGUUUAUACACUUUCUAUAAUAAUUGUUCUAGUUGAUACUGCAUGUUGAAUUGAUAUUUGUCGUUUUAUUACUUUGAAAAUAACAUUAUUUUUCAAAAGAUGCAAAAUCACAAAACCAAGGGAAAUACCUAGCAGGACAUAGCCUAGUGCCACUGUAACGAUUAAUCUUACCGCUAAAGUGGAGGCAAUGAUAGCCUCUAGUAGCUUUGCUUUUGUUCCCUUACCUAGUCUAAGGCCUCUUUUCUACAUAACACACUUUCUAUACAUGAUCUAGUAAUGUAAUAAUCUCUUGUUUAUGCAUAAUAUAGAUUGGUGUCACAAUUUCUAUUGCUUUCAGACUGCCCCCCACACAAUUUUCAUUUAUCAAACAAAUAGUGUUUCACAUUCGUCAAUCUUUUUACUUACUCAAUUAACUAUCCUCUAAAGUGUUCCACCAAUAGUCAAUCACCUGGGUAGUUCGUAAGGAAUCGGGUAAAAGUCAUUUAUACUUCAAAUCACAGAGAGAUGCUAGCUCAAGUCACAAGAAUGAAGACAUUCUUGAGAUCACACUCAGUCCUUAAGUCCAUCAGUUUGUUUGGCUACAAAUCAAACAACUACAUACAUACUAUCAACUAAUCAUAUCUGAAAGUUUAAGCAUCUCAAGAAAGUUUCAUAAAUUAAUGAUAACAAACAAACACAUAACACAUUGCAAUGCCUUGUUGCAUCACUACAAGUACCUAAUGCCAUUCUAACAAGUCAUAACAAUCCACUUUCUAUGUUUCUUAUUAGCCUCUAUUCAUUGAACGUUCGAUUCUAACAUUACUAUGUUUAGAGAUAUUAAUUGGAACCAACAAGUCCCAGUUGUACGUUCGAUUCUAACAUUACUAUUUUUAGAGAUAUUAAUUGGAACCAACAAGUCCCAGUUGUGAUUGUUGAGAUACUAAUGGGAAUAUUUCUAUACAAAUUAGACUCAAGGUGGGAAGACAACACUAGAAUAGCAUAAAAGGAGAGAUGAAAGUUAAGUUGAUCCUAGAUGCCUUGUAGCCUCCUACAUAAUUAUGUGGACAUCAAUAAACUAAUCGGUAGUGCUUUACUCAAUUUGUUCUUGUACUAGAAGACUGGUAACUUAGGCUUUAAUAUCAUCUUAUCAUGACCCUACCCGCCGAAUCAUGCGGGAACCUAUUGACACCUACCCUGAUAGAAGAAUCCUUAAUACCCCACCAUGUAAUUAAUGGGGAAGUGUAAUAAUUUUAAAAGUAAUCCUUAAACAUAGUUCUCUAAAAGUCAAAAGAAAAUCAACUAUAAUUAUUCAAUUUAUUCGUUAUACAAUUUCAACCAAUGUAUUUGGUUCAAAAAAGAAAUGUUGAAAAUAAGCAACAAUGAAUCCCCAGAAACUAGUCUAAACAAGUAC